rnacentral:lncRNA from 1 species
CGAGUCAAAUCUGAAUGCAUCCCAUCGCUAACUAUUUAAAGGGGGCUGCAUUGGGGAUUCAUUUCAUUCAGAUUUCUAAUUCUUUCUCUUCUUUCCUACAUCCUCUCUCUAUUGUCCAAUUAGUAUAUUUCUUUUUUUGUUAGGACAAGUCCAAAAAUAUUAAAGACAAGUCUGAUUUUAGGAUAAAGACCUAGGAAGAGAUUUAAGGAAGAUAAGGAGACAAGAAAGGUAG